UACGGAGGGUGCGAACGUUAAUCGGAAUUACUGGGCGUAAAGCGCGCGUAGGCGGUUCGGUAAGUGGGAUGUGAAAGCCCUGGGCUCAACCUGGGAACUGCAUUCCAAACUGCCGAGCUAGAGUGUGGUAGAGGGAGGUAGAAUUCCUGUGUAGCGGUGAAAUGCGUAGAUAUAGGAAGGAAUACCAGUGGCGAAGGCGGCCUCCUGGAUCAACACUGACGCUGAGGUGACGAAGGCGUGGGGAGCAAACAGG
rnacentral:rRNA from 1 species